rnacentral:antisense_RNA from 1 species
CAGGCCUGAGCUCCGGAUAUUUCUCCUGUUCUGGAGACAGUGAGAAGUGAAAGAGAAAUGGCUGCCCCUGCACCACUUACCGCGAAGGAGGCUCAAGGCUGGGGGUCCCCUCUGCCUUCCGGUGACCGCCCGUGUCACAUCCUGACCCGCUCAGCAGGAGAACACAGCAGGUCCCUCCGACCGCAGUCGGCCUCUCCAGCCUGCCAUGCCUCUGGCCAUGAGGCGACCCGCUGGAGUGAUGGAUUCCGGUCACUACCACCCACAGGGCGAGGGGGUGCAUUGGUCUGCUUGGGCCGCUGUAACAAAAUGCCACAGCCUGGGUGAGUGACUGACAUUGCUUCCCCACCGUUCUGGAGGCUGGAGGCCCGAGAUCGAGGUCCCUGACACUAUUUCAGUGAUGCCGGAGCCCAGGAGGAGUCGACCAAGCCCCAGCGUGGCCAUAAGCACCUUCGCAGGACCACGGAGUCGCUGCAGGUGUUCAGCCCUGUUGAGAGUGGGAGUUGGUGUCGAUGGUCACAGCUCAGUAACUCAUCGUCACCAGCGAGUACCACAGAGCAGACACAACUGCGCUUCUCUGUAGAGCCUCCAGUCGAUACUGAGAGCCACUGGGGCGUCUGACACCCAAGGGUGCAGACAUUCACUCCAAGUCCAGAGACCGCGCCCUUUCUAAGGCCCUGACUCACAGUCGCCCCAUGCUCAUUGUGCCGGAUGUUUCCACAGCCACAAAGACGGUGAGGUGCAGCCUAGUGCAUAUGACUGACAGAAACAUGAAGCCACAGUGGAUGCCUGGAUGAGACACAGAUCACCUUCCAAAUCUGAGUGUGGCCUUGGGACCAACCAGGUAGCCAGGGAGAAGGCAGAGACCAGAGGGAACCCAGGUGCCCUCAAUCCCAGCCUCCUCUAUCCCAGCCUCCCAAUCCCAGCCUCCCCAAUCCCAGCCUCCUAAUCCCAGCCUCCUCCAUCCCAGGACCCCCACUCCCAGCCUCCUGAUCCCAGCUUCUCUGAUCCCAGCCUCCCCUAAAA